CGCUGGUUGCACUCGUACUUGCAGUACUAGCCAAAGGUUUCUUGCGAGAAAGGUAGCCUUUUUUGAAAAGAACAUCCUGCCGAGGUGUCGUUAUUCUCAUGUAUUCCUCUGUAUAGAGAUGUUGUACACUUGCAUCAAUGACUGACGGAUUAACUGUACACAGCACCUCUCUAUCACACACCAAGCCUCACGUUCGUCUACUUAGACUUUUGAGUCAAGCCAAAGCCGGUAGGUUGUCUGUCAGCCCAGAACUAUUCUAGUACUAGAAUAGUACCAGAAUAGCAAGCUGGGAAAUGAGAAUAAGAGGAGCCAAGAAACUCGAAGGGGAGAGAACCAGAGGAGACUGUUAAAAAAAAGUGGAGAGGGCUCGGCACUGGCUUGUCGCAUAGCAGUGGACAAAAAGGUAUCGGACAUGGGUGCAGAAGAACCUUGGGAUACAUACUGAUCAGCGUUUUUGAGGACAAAUGAUGAGCAGAAUAGAACUUCUCUAAGGUCGUCUCUGAGCUUGAA